GAUGAACGCUGGCGGCGUGCUUAACACAUGCAAGUCGAACGAAGCACUUUAACUUGAUUUCUUCGGAAAGAUUCUUAUUGUGACUGAGUGGCGGACGGGUGAGUAGCGCGUGGGUAACCUGCCUCAUACAGGGGGAUAACAGUUGGAAACGACUGCUAAUACCGCAUAAGCGCACGGUAUCGCAUGAUACAGUGUGAAAAACUCCGGUGGUAUGAGAUGGACCCGCGUCUGAUUAGCUAGUUGGCGGAGUAACGGCCCACCAAGGCAACGAUCAGUAGCCGACCUGAGAGGGUGACCGGCCACAUUGGGACUGAGACACGGCCCAAACUCCUACGGGAGGCAGCAGUGGGGAAUAUUGCACAAUGGGCGAAAGCCUGAUGCAGCGACGCCGCGUGAACGAUGAAGUAUUUCGGUAUGUAAAGUUCUAUCAGCAGGGAAGAAGAAUGACGGUACCUGACUAAGAAGCACCGGCUAAAUACGUGCCAGCCGCCGCCGUAA
rnacentral:rRNA from 1 species